rnacentral:misc_RNA from 1 species
UCAUUUGCCGGAUGGCGGUGCGGGCACCUUAUCCGGCCUACAUCAACGUAGGCCGGAUAAGCGCAGCGCCAUCCGGCACCUUU